CUGGCUCAGGAUGAACGCUAGCGGCGGGCUUAACACAUGCAAGUCGAGGGGCAGCGGGAUGUAGCAAUACAUUGCCGGCGACCGGCGGAUGGGUGCGUAACGCGUAUGCAACCUACCUUAUACAGGGGAAUAACCUUUCGAAAGGGAGACUAACACCCCAUGGUAUUGAUUUAAGGCAUCUUAGAUUAAUUAAAUAUUUAUAGGUAUAAGAUGGGCAUGCGUAUGAUUAGCUAGUUGGUAAGGUAACGGCUUACCAAGGCGACGAUCAUUAGGGGUUCUGAGAGGAAGGUCCCCCACACUGGUACUGAGACACGGACCAGACUCCUACGGGAGGCAGCAGUGAGGAAUAUUGGUCAAUGGGCGCAAGCCUGAACCAGCCAUGCCGCGUGCAAGGAAGACGGCCUUAUGGGUUGUAAACUGCUUUUACAUAAGACUAACCGUAUAUUUGCGAAUAUACCUGAAUGUAUUAUGAGAAUAAGGAUCGGCUAACUCCGUGCCAGCCGCCGC
rnacentral:rRNA from 1 species